UACGUAGGUGGCAAGCGUUGUCCGGAUUUACUGGGCGUAAAGGGCGCGUAGGCGGCCCGCUAAGUCGAACGUGAAAUCCCCAGGCUCAACCUGGGAACUGCGUCCGAUACUGGCAGGCUUGAAUCCGGGAGAGGGAUGUGGAAUUCCAGGUGUAGCGGUGAAAUGCGUAGAUAUCUGGAGGAACACCGGUGGCGAAGGCGGCAUCCUGGACCGGCAUUGACGCUGAGGCGCGAAAGCUAGGGGAGCAAACGGG
rnacentral:rRNA from 1 species